GAAAGGCAUUAUAAAACAAGAGUAUGCGCAGACUGGAGGAACAUUUACACCAAGAUGAGAGGGCUAACUCUACUCUGUUUGGUGGGAUUCAUUCUCGCAGCGUCGUUGCAUGAAGGAGGCACAGCGCCGCUUCACAUCCAGAAAAGCCCCACAUCGCAUGACAUAGCUGACUGGAACACUCUUCAUCACAAAGGUGGUUUUCGACCUCAACCAACUGCUGGAAAUCCAGGGGGAGCCUAAAUGAAAGAAGACUGGCACCAGAGAUGCUCAACAGAUGAAAGCAUGUCGUGAAUCCGGACAAAGACAAAUGACUAUCAUUCACUGGUGUUAAGGUCUUCUUUAAAUAAACAUUGAAAAGUC